UGUGAAGUUAGCUGAUUUAUGUCAAGAGUUUGCCCAUUAUGUAGAAAUAGUGUAUGAUUUUCAACGCUAUCAAUCACCGAAGAACUACGAAGCGAAGUCAUACCAACAAUUAAAAUCACACAAUAAGAAUGUAAACGGAAAAUUCAAAACAAACAAAUUAAUCAAAUCAUUUUUGUUAUCUUAACAAUUGUUAUUUAAUUUUCAACAUUUCCCAUUAAUUGAAACACAACAGUUGGUUGGAUUUUUUAGUAACGCCCGGUGUAUACUUCCGACAAAAUAUUAUGUAUACGCCAGCCAGUAAACAGUUUUACGAUGAUCGUAAAACAACAACGCGAGAUGCACUGCACACGGCAAGGUAUAUAAUAAAAGUGUUUUCUCUGUACGAUUGCUAAGGAACUCAUCAAUCAUUCGGGCUAAUUAAGAGUGUACCACACUACCACGCAACGGCAAGUCACGCCCAGCACG